GAUGAACGCUGGCGGCGUGCCUAAUACAUGCAAGUCGAGCGAACAGAUGAGGAGCUUGCUCCUCUGACGUUAGCGGCGGACGGGUGAGUAACACGUGGAUAACCUACCUAUAAGACUGGGAUAACUUCGGGAAACCGGAGCUAAUACCGGAUAAUAUAUUGAACCGCAUGGUUCAAUAGUGAAAGACGGUUUUGCUGUCACUUAUAGAUGGAUCCGCGCCGCAUUAGCUAGUUGGUAAGGUAACGGCUUACCAAGGCAACGAUGCGUAGCCGACCUGAGAGGGUGAUCGGCCACACGGGAACUGAGACACGGUCCAGACCCCUACGGGAGGCAGCAGAGGGGAAUCUUCCGCAAUGGGCGAAAGCCUGACGGAGCAACGCCGCGUGAGUGAUGAAGGUCUUCGGAUCGUAAAACUCUGUUAUUAGGGAAGAACAAAUGUGUAAGUAACUAUGCACGUCUUGACGGUACCUAAUCAGAAAGCAACGGCUAACUACGU
rnacentral:rRNA from 1 species